AUUGAACGCUGGCGGCAAGCCUAACACAUGCAAGUCGAACGAGUGGCGGACGGGUGAGUAAUGUCUGGGAAACUGCCUGAUGGAGGGGGAUAACUACUGGAAACGGUAGCUAAUACCGCCUACCAUCGGAUUUUCCCAGAGGGGAUUAGCUAGUCGGUGGGGUAAAGGCUCACCUCGGCGACGAUCCCUAGCUGGUCUGAGAGGAUGACCAGCACCACUGGAACUGAGAAACGGUCCAGACUCCUACGGGAGGCAGCAGUGGGGAAUAUGGCACAAUGGGUGCAAGCAUGAUGCAGCCAUGCCGCGUGUAUGAAGAAGGCCUUCGGGUUGUAAAGUACUUUCAGCGGGGAGGCGUUAACCGCAGAAGAAGCACCGGCUAACUCCGUGCCAGCAGCCGCGGUAAUAC
rnacentral:rRNA from 1 species